rnacentral:rRNA from 1 species
CAAGUCGAAGCGGUAUAUACUUUAUCAAAUCUUCGGAAGAGAGACGGUAUAGAGAGCGGCGGACGGGUGAGUAACGCGUAGGCAACCUGCCCCAUACAGAGGGAUAGCCUCGGGAAACCGGGAUUAAAACCUCAUAACGCCAAGAGUUCACAUGGACUUUUGGCCAAAGAUUUAUCGGUAUGGGAUGGGCCUGCGUCUGAUUAGCUAGUUGGUGGGGUAACGGCCUACCAAGGCAACGAUCAGUAGCCGACCUGAGAGGAUGAUCCGCCACACUGGGACUGAGACACGGCCCAGACUCCUACGGGAGGCAGCAGUGGGGAAUUUUGGACAAUGGGGGAAACCCUGAUCCAGCCAUGCCGCGUGAGUGAAGAAGGCCUUCGGGUUGUAAAGCUCUUUCGGCCGGGAAAAAAUUGCACGGAUGAACAGUCUGUGUAGAUGAUGGUACCGGACUAAGAAGCACCGGCUAACUACGUGCCAGCAGCCGCGG